AAGAGUGGAAAACUUGCUCGAAGAAAUGAAGGAAAUCUUGAUUAAUCAUUAGCUAACCAAGAAGAGACUUCAAGUGACUGCACACUGCAGGGAAUACAUGAAUUACUCCAGGAAUGCCACUAAACAAACUGCAGCAACAACAGCAACAAUAAACCCUGGGCAGAGAGGGAAUCUGAUUUCCAAAGAAACAACUUUAUAUGAUCUAAAAUUUCUGUAUUCAAGAAAAAUUUGUGACACACAAAGAAUCAGAAAAGUGUAGUCCAUAUUCAGGUAAUGAGGUUGUCAACUGAAACUAUCCCUGAGGAGGCUCAUAUGUCAGACUUUAUAUGCAAAGAUUAAAAGUCAGCUAUGUUAAAUAUGUUCAAGGAACUGAAAUAAACCAUGUAUAAAGACCUAUGAAGUAGCAACAAAGAGAACAGGUCUCAACAACAGAUUCGAGCUGGCAGAAGAGAGAAUAAGCAAACACGAAGCUGGGUCAAUGGAAGUUAUCCAGUCUGUGGAACAUGAAGAAGUGAAACAGAAAAAUAGUGAAAAACAUAAAGAGAAUGGACCCUCAGAAACAUAUGGUAUACCUUCCAGCAUACCAACAUAUAUGUAAUGUAAGUCUCAGAGCAUGAAUAAAGGGAAUAAGGAACAGAAUAUUUGAAGAAAUAAUGGCCAAACUUUCCCAAAUUUGAUGAAAAUUAUUGUGUCCAUCUAAGAAGGUCAAUCAAUUUCAAAUAGGCUGGGCACAGUGGCUCUCACCUGUGAACCCAGUACUUUGGGAAGCCAAGACUGGAGGAUUGCUUGAGUCCAGGAGUUCAAGAGAAGCAUGGGUAACAUAGCGAGACCUCACCUCUUAAAAAAAAAAAUGGCUGGGCAUGGUGGUGCAUGCCUGUAGUCCCAGCUACUCAGGAGACUGAGGCAGGAGGAUUGCCUGAGCUCAGGAGGUCAAGACUGCAGUGAGCUAUGAUCAUGCCACUGCACCCCAUCUGGAGUGAGAUCCUAUCUCAAAAAAAAAAAAAAAAAA
rnacentral:lncRNA from 1 species